CGGGCUGCCGGAGCUGUGGGUUUGCGGG
rnacentral:piRNA from 1 species